AUCAAAAAGAGGAUCCGCCCAGAAUGGAAGUGCCACAAUGUGACAAAGUCAAAAUAGCUCUGCAGACACGUGAACGUUUCAUGAGCAGUAAACGCUACCAGCGGUCUGGUUUUACGCAUUUGAUUUAAAAGUAGAAGAAAGUGAUAGGCGGACAUGAAAUGACGAAGCAAUAACCUACGCAAAUCAAAAUACUGACAUUGGGGUGUUCGAAAGGAAUUUUUCGCUGUAUGACUUGUUUCUCUUAAUACUUGAACAAGCAAUCGUAAAUUCCAAAUUUUCACCACAUGUUGAAUAUUUUGAAACACAUAUUUGUUACAUUUGUUAAUAUUGUUAUGAUCGGGCAAUAAAACGAUGCAUUUUCAACGCA
rnacentral:misc_RNA from 1 species